rnacentral:rRNA from 1 species
GUCGACGCGAAGAACCUUAUCCAGGCUUGACAUGUGCGAAAGCGCCAAGUGUACCCUGUGGAAACAUAGGGGAACCUCGCAAGAGGGGACUUGGUACAGGUGUUGCAUGGCUGUCG